GUGGGGAAUUUUUCGCAAUGGGGGAAACCCUGACGAAGCAACGCCGCGUGGAGGAUGAAGGCCUUCGGGUCGUAAACUCCUGUCGACCGGGACGAACGUAGUCGGGUCCAAUACACCCGGCUAUCGACUGUACCGGUGGAGGAAGCCACGGCUAACUCUGUGCCAGCAGCCGCGGUAAUACAGAGGUGGCAAGCGUUGUUCGGAAUUACUGGGCGUAAAGGGCGCGUAGGCGGUUCGUUAAGUCCUGUGUGAAAUCCCCCGGCUCAACUGGGGAACUGCACAGGAAACUAGCGGGCUUGAGUUCGGGAGAGGGAAGCGGAAUUCCGGGUGUAGCGGUGAAAUGCGUAGAUAUCCGGAGGAACACCGGUGGCGAAGGCGGCUUCCUGGACCGACACUGACGCUGAGGCGCGAAAGCUAGGGGAGCAAACGGGAUUAGAAACCCGUGUAGUCC
rnacentral:rRNA from 1 species